rnacentral:rRNA from 1 species
UUAAACCUACGGGGGGCAGCAGUAGGGAAUUUUCGUCAAUGGGCGCAAGCCUGAACGAGCAAUGCCGCGUGAACGAGGAAGGUCUUCGGAUCGUAAAGUUCUGUUGAAGGGGAAAAAGAGCGGAGAGAGGAAAUGAACUCCGAUUGAUAUUACCCUUCGAGGAAGUCACGGCUAACUACGUGCCAGCAGCCGCGGUAAUACGUAGGUGGCGAGCGUUAUCCGGAAUGAUUGGGCGUAAAGGGUGCGUAGGCGGCCUGCUAAGUCUGGAGCGAAAGGAACCGGCUCAACCGGUACAG